rnacentral:rRNA from 2 species
CAUGCAGUCGAACGAUGAUCCCAGCUUGCUGGGGGAUUAGUGGCGAACGGGUGAGUAACACGUGAGUAACCUGCCCUUGACUCUGGGAUAAGCCUGGGAAACUGGGUCUAAUACCGGAUACGACCAUUCCACGCAUGUGGUGGUGGUGGAAAGCUUUUGUGGUUUUGGAUGGACUCGCGGCCUAUCAGCUUGUUGGUGGGGUAAUGGCCUACCAAGGCGACGACGGGUAGCCGGCCUGAGAGGGUGACCGGCCACACUGGGACUGAGACACGGCCCAGACUCCUACGGGAGGCAGCAGUGGGGAAUAUUGCACAAUGGGCGCAAGCCUGAUGCAGCGACGCCGCGUGAGGGAUGACGGCCUUCGGGUUGUAAACCUCUUUCAGUAGGGAAGAAGCGAAAGUGACGGUACCUGCAGAAGAAGCGCCGGCUAACUACGUGCCAGCAGCCGCGGUAAUACGUAGGGCGCAAGCGUUAUCCGGAAUUAUUGGGCGUAAAGAGCUCGUAGGCGGUUUGUCGCGUCUGCUGUGAAAGACCGGGGCUCAACUCCGGUUCUGCAGUGGGUACGGGCAGACUAGAGUGCAGUAGGGGAGACUGGAAUUCCUGGUGUAGCGGUGAAAUGCGCAGAUAUCAGGAGGAACACCGAUGGCGAAGGCAGGUCUCUGGGCUGUAACUGACGCUGAGGAGC